GAUCCUGGCUCAGGAUGAACGCUAGCGACAGGCUUAACACAUGCAAGUCGAGGGGCAGCACGGGGUAGCAAUACCCCCGGUGGCGACCGGCGCACGGGUGAGUAACACGUGUGCAACCAACCCCGUACCGGGAGAUAACCCGCGGAAACGUGGACGUAACACCCAUAACACUUCCCCGCAUGGGGGAGAGUUUAAAAUCACGAUGGUACGGGACGGGCACGCGGCGACAUUAGGUAGUUGGUCGGGGUAACGGCCCACCAAGCCGACGAUGU
rnacentral:rRNA from 1 species